GGAGAUGCAGCUCAGGGAUAGAGCAUCUGUUUAGUAUACAGGAGCCCUGGGUUCCAUCCCCAGAACCACCA
rnacentral:tRNA from 1 species